UACGGAGGGAGCUAGCGUUGUUCGGAAUUACUGGGCGUAAAGCGCGCGUAGGCGGCUUUGUAAGUUAGAGGUGAAAGCCCGGGGCUCAACUCCGGAACUGCCUUUAAGACUGCAUCGCUUGAAUCCGGGAAAGAUGAGUGGAAUUCCGAGUGUAGAGGUGAAAUUCAUAGAUAUUCGGAAGAACACCAGUGGCGAAGGCGGCUCACUGGACCGGUAUUGACGCUGAGGUGCGAAAGCGUGGGGAGCAAACAGG
rnacentral:rRNA from 1 species